ACUACCUCUGCUGCUACAGUGACCACCACCACCACCACCACCACUGCUGUUCUUGUCAUCACCGUCAACAGCACUACGGCUACAAUCACCCACCAAUUGCUGCUCCCACAAAUACGACCAGCUGUAUUCCCCAACCACUACGGAUAUAGUCACUAACGCUGCUGUUACUGUAAACAUUACCACCACCACCACCACUGCUGCUGCAAUUCUCCUCACCACUAUUGUUGUUACCACCACCACCACCACUCCGGUUAGAGUCACAAUCUUCGCUGCUGUAAUUAUUAUUGAAGCUACCGCUACAAUCACGAUCACUGACACUAGCGCCACCCAAAUUUUAUGUCAUUUCCUUCACUACACUCUCUGCUGAUUCUACUCCUCUUUAAAGGCUACGAAGGGCAAGUAACUCUAUUCCACCCUCGUGUUAUCAUGACGCUUGUACGUCGGUCGUCUUGUCAUUGAUUUCUCACUUGACUGCUUUCUUCAUCCCCUGCAUUCCUGCUGAAAGCUCGACAUCGCAGCAACAGUUCCUAUAUUCUCGUUCCUUUCAUUUCUCUCUUGCCAACAACACAAGGCAAAAAGGAAGAAAAAAAAAAUAACAAACUUAUCUUUUGGAACGGAAGAUGAAGAUGAGACGUCGGUUAUGGUUGCGCUUGGCUAUUUUGAUUGUGACGUCUCUGUUUGCCAUUCCUUUAUUACUCUACCAUUUGGAUGAUGGACAGCAUAGACUUAAAAUUUAUUCCAGAGAUUCGCCGCGUAGAAAUAAAAGGGUCGAUACAGAUUACGAUGAGCGAGAUCGACCGGAAAAUGCCAUGAGAAAUCCACCUUUGGGCAUUGUUGAUGAAGGAGGGAAUAUCAACAACAGUACGUACUCAGUAGCGAAACACAAGGCAAAGACAGUUUUGAAACAAGGAGUGCUUGGUAACUACGAGCCUGAGGAAGUAAAACAUUCUUCCCUUCCUGGCGAAAAUGGCGAACCAGUUUACACAAGCAUGAGUGAAAAAGCUCAAGCUGAUUCUUCUAUCCACGAGUAUGGUUUUAACUUGGUGGCCAGCGAUAAGAUUUCUUUGGAACGGACGAUUCCGGACACCCGUGUGGAGGAGUGCAAAUACUGGCACUAUUCUCGCAAACUCCCCACUGCUAGCGUCGUCAUUGUUUUCCACAACGAAGGCUGGUCUACGUUGAUGCGAACCGUACACAGUGUUAUCAACACGUCCCCAGCACACCUGCUGAAAGAAGUUGUCAUGGUUGACGAUAUGAGCGACAAACCACACCUGAAAAAUAAACUUGAGGAAUAUAUCAAGCAGUUCAACAAUAAAGUCAAGCUUUACCGAAACGAUAAACGCGAAGGCCUUAUUCGAACCCGUACACUCGGUGCUCAGUAUGCAGUGGGCGAUGUUAUUGUGUUUCUUGAUGCCCACUGUGAGUGUAACAGGAACUGGUUGGUUCCGUUGCUGGCCAGGAUUGCUUACGAUCGUAAAAUAAUGGCAGUACCCAUUGUUGAAAGUAUUGACUGGGAUAACUUCAGAUACCACCCUGUUUAUACUACUAACCAUCAUCGGGGUAUAUUUGAAUGGGGAUUCUUGUAUAAAGAAAGCAAAGUUCCACAGAAGGAAUUGGACAAACGCAGUCACAACAGCGAACCAUAUUGGUCUCCCACACACGCAGGGGGACUUUUUGCCAUUGACAGAAAAUAUUUUUUUGAAUUGGGAGGAUAUGAUCCUGGUCUUCAGAUUUGGGGUGGAGAAAACUUUGAGUUGUCUUUCAAAAUAUGGAUGUGUGGGGGUAGCAUUGAAUGGGUCCCUUGUUCCCGUGUCGGACACGUAUACAGAAAUUAUAUGCCAUAUGGAUUUGGGAAAAUUACCAGCAAAAUACCCAUCGUCCUCCUCAAUUAUAUGCGUGUAGUGGAAGUGUGGCUAGAUGAAGAUUUCAAACAAUAUUUCUACCGACGUGAACCAUCAGUUGAAGGUUACCCAGUUACUAAUAUUAGCGACCAGUUAACGUUUAAAAAAGAACACAAAUGCAAAAGCUUCAGUUGGUUUAUGGAUAACAUUGCCUAUGAAGUCUACGAUAAAUUCCCACCGCCACCGGGAAACAAGGCUUGGGGUGAAAUUCAAUUGAAGUCUGGGAGUAGCUUGUGCUGGGAUACCUACGGGCAACCACCUGGAGGCAGCCCUAUUGGAGUAAGUGGCUGUCAUCACUUUGGUGGUAACCAGUUGUUUAGACUUAAUGUACAGGGCCAAAUGGCCAUGGGGGAGCGAUGCAUCGACUCUGGGAAUGGUGAUACACUACAUGUCCAGUUCUGCGACAUCCAACCGAACGGACCGUGGAGCUGGGAUGAAAAAACUGGACUAAUUUUGAACAAGAAUCGCAACCGUUGUGUGGAGUCUGGGCACGACAGCCGGCUUCACCUCAAAGCCUGUAAUGAACAGGUUGCCAAUCAGCAAUGGAUUAUAAAAAAGAUUUGGUCGUGGAAAUAAUUUUUUUUUUUUAAACUAGAACCCUCAUAUUUGAUCAUAUCAUUCAUAUUACAACCACCAAACCUCUCUGGGUCAUACAUAUAUAUGUUCGGAAUGAAACAAAUUUACAGAGGGCAGUCUUUAGACAGUCCUCAGCCACUUUCGUAUCCUAUGAAGACAACGUCAAGCAGUUCUGGACACACUUGUUUCAACAAUGCGCUUGAAAAGUUCUCCACUUGUAAGACCUGGCUUCUUUGCAGCUUCAUGCUUAAUUCCUGACAGAGAACAUUGAGAAACAGCAUUCGACUGACCCUUGUUAGCUCUCUUAAGUAUCUUCAUCGGAGCUGUAACAAUUUUUUUUCACAGUUUGGUUAUAACUUCCAAUUAUUUUAGGUAUUCCUAACAUUCAUUUACCUUUUGCAAAUUCAGAAUAACAAAUUUCUCUGAAGCAAUUAAGUCAUAUUUACGAACCUUAAUUACUUGAUUAUCAGACCACUCGUUAUUAAUUUGGAACACUGAAAGUUCAUGGAAAUCAUGCAAACAGCUACAGUUUGUUUAUACUUUUGCAAAACCUCACAAUUUUUACAUACCACACACAUAUAUCUGUGGAAAUUUCAUUGAAUGCCAGCAAGUGAUUUUUAAAUAAAAUAAACAAAUAUUAUGUUAUUAAUAAUUUGAUAUGCAGUGUAGUGGAAUACCGCACAUUCUUUAAUACCUAACAACACUUCUCUUGUGGGUUCAAACCUCACUGAGAACACUUCAGAUAGGAUAGAUCUCCUACAAUGUCCACACACACACACACACACACACACACACACACACACACACACACAUUUACUCUGUCAUGUCAUUAUAUUGCACAUGCAUGUGUGUGUGUGUGUGUGUGUGGCCUUGUGGUUAGUGUUGCACUCAUCAUUGCUAGAUCAUGUGACCAAUCCCUAGAGCAGGCAAUGCUUCAUUUCAUGUUGCCCCAGUUCACUCAGCUGUAAAUGGGUGACCCUGCAAUGGACUAGCCUUCUGAUGAGGGGGAAUGUUGGCCUGUUUGCCUCACCAGUGGAAUGUUAUAAUUCAAAAGCUAAAAUAGUACAAAGCGCAUUGUGAUCAGCGAUGUAUAACAGCAUCUAAUAGUCUGGUCGAUCAAGUGAUAUAUGUAGGUGUGGACAUGGCUGUGUGGUUAAGAAGAUUGCUUUGCAGCCUAUGGUUUUAGGUUCAGUCCCACUGUGCAGCACCUCGGGCAAGUGUCUUCUGCUAUUUACUGUCAACAAUGAUUAUCCAGUUGUAACAUCUUUUAUUUCCCAUCCUCUCCCCCCAUGCCAUUGUUCAUCAUUCCCAAUUCCUCUACAUACAUAUAUAUGUGUAUGUGUCUUUGUGUCUGUGUUUGUCCCCACCAUCAGCCUAUGUUGGUGUGUUUAUGUCCCUGUAACUUAGUGGUUUGGCAAAAAAAGAUCGAUAAAAUAAGUAACAAGCUGUAAAAAAAAAAAAGUUCUGGAGUUGAUUCGUUGGACUAAAAAAUUUUUAGGUUGUGCUCCAGCAUGGCCACAGUCUACUGACUGAAACAAGUUAAAAUAAAAAAAAACAAAAAAAAACAAGAAACGUCAUUAAAGUCUUGAUGCUACAGGAUAUUCUUUUACUUGUUUCAGUCAUUUGACUGUGGCCAUGCUGGAGCACCGCCUUUAGUCGAGCAAAUUGACCCUAAGACUUAUUUUUUAUAAGCCUAGUGUUUAUUCUAUCAGUCUCUUUUGCCGAACCGCUAAAUUAGGGGGACGUAAACAUACCUGCAUCAGCUGUCAAGUGAUGUUGGGGAGACAAACAUAGACACACACUCAUACAUACACACACACACACACACAUAUAUAUAUAUUCGAUGGGCUUCUUUCAAAUCUACUCACAAGGCUUUGGUCGGCCCAAGGCUAUAGUAGAGGACACUUGCCCAAAGUGCCAUGCAGUGGAACUGAACCCGAAACCAUGUGGUUGGUAAACAAGCUUCUUACCACACAGCCACUCCUGCCCCUAUAAUUCGUGGUGAAUAGAUAAGGAUGACAUUUGACAAGGUAGUCUGAAUGUGAGAGGGUUAACUCCUUUACCGAAAAUUUCCAUUGGAACUGUUUCUUUCAAACUUGAAACCUUCUGUUAUUGGAUGGCAUCAAAGAAGCAGGUGCAUCUUACACGCCCUGACCCUUAUUACAGUUACACAUAUUCAAGAAAAAUAGUUUUAUAGUGCAUUGGCUCCUUAGUUCAGUGAUUCUCAAUCAUUUUUUAUUCAUGGACCUCUUUGAUUCUCAUUUUAUUUUGGUGGACCCUUUAUAAACAUUAGAUUUAAUUAUUAUUGUUAUGGAGUCAUGUGAGGUAGAAAAAAAAAUAUCUGGAUUAAUAUUGGUUUCAAAUUUUGGCAUAAGGCCAGCUUGGGAAAGAGAUGAAGUUGUUUACAUUGACCCAGAAAGGAUGAAAGGCAAAGAAUUUUGACCUCGGCAGAAUUUUGCCUGGCGUGCUAAUGGUUCUAUUAGCUUGCUGCCAUCUUCUGAAUUAAUAUUAGCCUAUAGUAGAGUGUCAGGGAUGAAAUUAUCUUAAGGAAGUGGCCCAACCUUGCAUGUAGGCUCUGUGGUAACAUUUUUAUGGUAAACAAACUACAUGGUAUGUAUCAUCAAAAACAAAAUACUUUUAUCCCCCAAAAACUAAACUUGAAACAAAUCCAGUCCAUUUCUUUGUUUUCUUCUUCAUUGUUGAUAUUUGCUCAACGAAUCACAAAUUAACCAUUAUCUUUUUCUCUUCAUCUUUGUAACUUUUCAUACCCUAUCUCUGAGGUGUUUCAUAGCAUUUGAUUUGUGUUGUUAAGCGGUUUCUGACUAGACUAUGUCUAUAUACGGACUCUAUUGUGUCAUGGCUGUGACUGUUAAUGAUUUUUCUUGUCCCCCCUUCUGUGAUUGCUGUGAUCAUACUACCCAUGUAAUAGCUGUGACAUGUCUUGCUAAUUCCCUCCUUUCCUAUGACUAUGCUGUGUCAUAGCUGUGAUUCCAUCUUAGUGACCCCUUUCCCUCCUUCUGUGAAUGUUGUGAUCUUGUUUGUUCCUGCAUGAUUCCCUUUUCCUGUGUCAUAGCUAUGACCUGUCAGAAAUAUUUCUCCUUGUUGUGAGGUGCAGAGGUGACUGUGUGGGUGUGUGGUUAAGAAGUUUGUUUCCCAGUCUCAUAGUUUUGGGUUCAGCCCCACUGCAUGUCACUUUGGGUCAGUGUUCGCACCACAUAUAUAUGCAAGCAUGUGUAUGUGUGUGUGUGUGUAUGUGUCUUGACAUCUUGUGAUAGUUAUAAAACAAGAACCAUUGUCAUGCAAGUUGUAAAAAUACUGAGGAAAAAUAUUACCUUGCUUGGAAACAAGGGUUGGUGACAGGAAGGGUAUCCAGCUUUAUAAAAAUCUGCCUCAGCAAAUUCCGUCUGACCCAUGCAAACGUGGAAAAGGGGACAUUAUUAACACAGUGAUGAUGAUGAUGAUGUUGUUCAUAAUUGAAAUGAUCUGUCUUAAUAAUUCCUCUUCUAUUAUAGCUUGUCAGUCAUAACUAUCAUCACAUCCUUUGUCUUUUCAUAAUUUCUCCUCCCAUUGUUUUGCAUCCAAUUUGAUGUUAGUCUGUCUAAUACUCUCUCUUCUUCCAUCAAACACAUUUUAAAAACUAUCAUAUAUUCUGAUGUAGUAAUUUUCUCUCUGCAGUGUCUGACACAUCCCCUUCCUGACCUGCUGAAUAUCACCAGCCCAAAAACACACACACUUUCUGUUAAUCAUUAUACAACCCAGCUGUGAUCUGUCCUGUUACUCUUCUUAUAACAGUUGUGUGUCUCUCCUGUGAUCUGUCCUAUAACUUUUCUUGUGAUUGUUGUGUACCUCACCUAUGAUCUGUCCUAAUAUUCUCUUAUCGGCCCUCCAUUUCAAUCCUGCCAAUGAAAAACACACCAGCUAUAUGUUACCUGUUCCCAAAUUGUUCCAGACCGAUCUUAAUACCACUCUAUGGAUGAUGCUUUACUGUCCCAUUGGUGGAGACCAUUCUAUCAAUUUCUUGUUAGGUGAUAGGUUGGAAUAAAAUCUGUGCAGUAUUCCUUCUAACUCUUUAUGUCCAGAGUUUAAAUCUGGCCAAGGUCACCUUCACCUUUCAUCCUUUCAGCUAAAGCAAAGUACCAGCCAAGUAGUUUUCUAUACAUAUCACUGCUGUAUCUGUUCAGUAUCUUUAUGUCCAGAGUUCAAAUCUGGCCAAGGUCACCUUCACCUUUCAUCCUUUCAGCUAAAGCAAGGUACCAGCCAGUAGUUUUCUAUACAUAUCACUGCUGUAUCUGUUCAGAAUCUUUGUGUGCUGAGUUCAAAUCUGACUGAGGUCAACUUUACCUUUCAUCCUUUCAGGGUCGAUGAAAUAAAGUACUGGCAUCGAUGGAAUCGACUAAAAUUCAAAAUUGCUGGCUUUGUGCCUAAAUCAGAAGCCAUUAUUUCCAAUGCCUCUGCUUCCCCUCCCCCAUUUUUGUCUUAUUUCUCUCCAUACAACUUGUUUGCUCACGGAUGUCUUUAACCAUUUUGAUACCAACCAACCAACCAACCUGAUAUCACCUGUGGUUCUUCUGAUAUCAAACUUCUUGUUUUAAGGAGAUUUCAAUUGAAAAACUUUCCAUCAAAAUUUCAUGCCGAUUAAUGUUCCAAACAUCAGUUUAAUGAUGAAAGGGAUUUUACUAAAUUCCUCAUCAUUUUCAAAAUUAAUUAUAACAAAGGUAGCAAUAUGUAACACCAGAAAUAUGGUAACAAAAUGGUUAAAGGGAUCUAAAUUAAAGUUUUUCCAUCAAAAUUUCACAUUGUGUUCCCAACACCAACUUUGUCAUUUCACUAAAUUUUUCAUUAUUUUCAAUAUUAAUUGAAACAAAAGUGAUGUAUUUCAUCAGAAAUAUGGUAACAAAAUAACUGAAGUGAUCUGAAUUAAAAUUUACCAUCAAAAUUUCAUGUUAAUUUGUGUUCCAAACACUAACUUUACCAAGUUCUUCAUUAUUUUCAAAAUUAAUUAAAACAAUGGCAAUGAAGAAAAAUAUUAAAAAAAUAAAAAUAACCCCCCCCCACACACACACACAAAACAAGGGGGUAAAGUGAUGUUUUAUUGUGAGUGAGUGAGUGGGGGUAGGCAU